rnacentral:rRNA from 1 species
GAUGAACGCUGGCGGCGUGCCUAAUACAUGCAAGUCGAGCGAACGGACGAGAAGCUUGCUUCUCUGAUGUUAGCGGCGGACGGGUGAGUAACACGUGGAUAACCUACCUAUAAGACUGGGAUAACUUCGGGAAACCGGAGCUAAUACCGGAUGAUAUUUUGAACCGCAUGGUUCAAAAGUGAAAGACGGUCUUGCUGUCACUUAUAGAUGGAUCCGCGCUGCAUUAGCUAGUUGGUAGGUAACGGCUUACCAAGGCAACGAUGCAUAGCCGACCUGAGAGGGUGAUCGGCCACACUGGAACUGAGACACGGUCCAGACUCCUACGGGAGGCAGCAGUAGGGAAUCUUCCGCAAUGGGCGAAAGCCUGACGGAGCAACGCCGCGUGAGUGAUGAGGGUCUUCGGAUCGUAAAACUCUGUUAUUAGGGAAGAACAUAUGUGUAAGUAACUGUGCACAUCUUGACGGUACCUAAUCAGAAAGCCACGGCUAACUACGUG